CCCUUUUUUGAAAUAUCUCUUUUUCCAUUACGGUGACCCCAUCUUUUUAUUUCCUUAUUUUGUUUAGAUAUAAACAACGCAUAUUCUAUUGAAGACUCAUGGAGAAAUUAUUGGUCAAUUUUUUUUAAACUUAUUUUUUUUAUAGGUAUUUCACAAUAAAAAAAAGGCGGGAAAACUAUUAUAGCGACUUAUCAUUAUUAUUUUCCAUUCAGUAAAGGGUGAUAUUAUUAAAAUAGUUUGUAUUAACAACUAGGUUAACAAAACAGACAAGUUUUUAUUGGAUACGGACUUUAAAAAAAAUAUUACACUGCUAUUGACUAGAAGUCCCAAUUUCCAAAUUCCGUGAAAAAGAUGGCGUUUUAAAUCGAAAACGAGGUCGGUGACCCCAUUUUUUUAUUUGCUUAUUUUAAAGCUUUUACCUAGCCUAAAGUAAAAAUAAAAUAUAAAGAAGAUAUUAUUGGUAGAUCUGAAUAGAAGGAUUUGUCUUUAAGUGUAAGUUUUAUCCGUU
rnacentral:lncRNA from 1 species